rnacentral:lncRNA from 1 species
AUAAUUUUAUAAUUCAUAUUUUUAAAUUAUAAAAUAUACUGAAAUAUUAUAUCAAAUUCUGGAUAUCAAAUUUUAUGAUGGGUACUAUCAAUCAUCCAAGAAGAUAAUAAAAAGACUGCAUAAUCUAAAAAUCAUCGGCUGUCAGGAAUGGUUUAAGUGGCCAAGGUAUUUAAGCUGAAGAGAACAAAAAUUAAGGGGAGUCAAUGACAGGUGUUUUCAAAAACCCAAGGGGACCUCAUAGACAGCACAGUUUACACAUUUAUGUGUUUCUCUAAAGCACAGAGCUAUAGCCAAUAUACAAAAAUUAUUGGUAGGCAGGCUUAACAUAUUCUAAUCUUUCUAAAAAUGAAACAGCAAGAGCUUUACUGCCUUCUGAGGUAAGCAGCACACAGAAGUGCUCUCUUUCAGGGUUGCUGUGAAACGAAUUCUUACAUUUGGAAGAAGUUUGCAGUGGAGUAAGACUUCUAUCUAUAGCAGGACUACACUCCACCUGGCCAUGUGUCACUGUGUAUGCAAAAUGUUUGUCACCUGCAAAGGAACACGGCAAGAGAAGAUGGCGAGUAUCUACAAUGACUCGAUGUGAGGCUGAUCAACAUCAUCACGAGUCUAUAAAAUCUUUCUGCUUCCAAGAAAAGUCUCUGUCAACUUACACACCAGACUGCUUUCCUUUCCUAGCAAUCAAGUAUUUUCACUUAGAUAUUAUGUAUAGUCUCAAGUUUUAUAUGUUUCAUCAUCUGAAAAGGUCUAUUUUAAAUUCUAAAUGUUUGCUAAUUUCUGGUUAAGGUUGUCAUGGAGUUUUCUCCUUCUUCAUCUAAAUCAUCUGGCAGUGAAGUUAUUGCCUUAAAUCACCAUAUCUAGCUAACAGUAUAGUGCUGGUAUAAGUCAUCUCUUACUUAGAAAAAAAAAAACGUGUUAAAAAUGUUAACUGCAAAGCACAAAGUGGUAAUGUCAUACUGCCCCUCUAUUUUGGUGCACGAUAAACACAAAACAGCAGGUGUUGAUUUUCUCUGAUAUUCGAGAUUGACAGCUUGUCUCUUUCUUACUCCACUGACCCCCAUUAUGUUUAAUCUACAUUCAUCCAUGACACAUUGCAACCUGCUGAUUUUAUAUGAUUUUAUAGCCACUCUGUAUGUAAAUAAAAUGAGUACAAAAUACAAAACCCCAAUAGUAUAAUUUCUGCCUUCCUAUAAAAUCAACCUGCUCAACUGAAUGCACCUCU